rnacentral:SRP_RNA from 1 species
GCCGGGCAUGGUGGUGUGUGCCUGUAGUCCCAGCUACUCGGGAGGCUGAGGUGGGAGAAUCACCUGAGCCCAGGAGGUUGAGGCUGCAGCGAGCAGUGAUUGUGCCACUGCACUCCAGCCUGGGCGACAGAGUGAGACCUUGCCUCAA